GUAGGGGCGGAUGUAGCCAAGUGGAUUAAGGCAGUGGAU
rnacentral:tRNA from 1 species